CACAUGCAGUCGACCGAAGUUUAUUAAAGGAAGUUUUCGGGAUGGAAUUUAAUAAACUUAGCGGCGGACGGGUGAGUAACGCGUGGGCAACCUGCCCUGUACAGAGGGACAACAACGGGAAACCGUUGCUAAUACCUCAUAAAACCCUAAAGGGGCAUCCCUUAUGGGUCAAAGAAUUUCGGUACAGGAUGGGCCCGCGUCUGAUUAGCUAGUUGGUGAGGUAAUGGCUCACCAAGGCGACGAUCAGUAGCCGACCUGAGAGGGUGAUCGGCCACACUGGAACUGAGACACGGUCCAGACUCCUACGGGAGGCAGCAGUGGGGAAUAUUGCACAAUGGGGGAAACCCUGAUGCAGCAACGCCGCGUGAGCGAUGAAGGCCUUCGGGUCGUAAAGCUCUGUCCUAAGGGAAGAAAUUUGACGGUACCUUAGGAGGAAGCCCCGGCUAACUACGUGCCAGCAGCCGCGGUAAUACGUAGGGGGCAAGCGUUAUCCGGAAUCACUGGGCGUAAAGGGUGCGUAUGCGGUCUUACAAGUCAGGGGUGAAAGGCUACGGCUCAACCGUAGUAAGCCUUUGAAACUGUAGGACUUGAGUGCAGGAGAGGAAAGUGGAAUUCCUAGUGUAGCGGUGAAAUGCGUAGAUAUUAGGAGGAACACCAGUGGCGAAGGCGACUUUCUGGACUGUAACUGACGCUGAGGCACGAAAGUGUGGGGAGCAAACA
rnacentral:rRNA from 1 species